GAAAAGAAAAGAUUAAAAGGGCAUUUUCGUCUUUCAACAGCCCCUAAACCCUUGCCCUUGAAUUCACCGCGGCUUUGCACUCUCGUAUUUCAGACUCCAUUUCGGCUUUUUGUACCUCUCAGACGAUUGCAGCUUACAAAAGUUGAACGGAAUGGGUGAAAAGAAGAAGAAGGCUACCUUGUUCAUCCGACUUAUCUCAGCAGCUGGGACUGGUUUUUUCUAUGUCAAGAAGAAGCCAAGUAGGGUCCAAGAGAAGCUUGAGUUCCGGAAAUUCGACCCUCGGGUAAAUCGUCAUGUUCUAUUUACCGAGGCAAAAAUGAAAUGAGCAAGUUGCUAGUGCAAUGUGGAUUUAUUCACUGUUGUCCAUCUUUUUGCCAUUAGUCCUUGUAGGCACUCUGUUUAAAGGUAGACCCAACUCCUAAAAACUUGAGUUAAUUAUUUGUGUUUUUUGUUGUAUCUUGAUGAAAGUUCACACACUCUCUCUCUAGCUGAAGUAUAAUAAGCUCAAAUUUCGAUUGCUAAUCUACUAUUCUCAUGCUGUUCGAAAACAUGGGUGAUUGAAAUAUUGAAGAGCUUUACGAGGGAGCAUUUUGCUCACCACCUAUUUAUUACCGUUAGUUGAGUUUGAAUUUCAAGAUUCGUGUAGUGGAUAAGCACAAAUCUCAAAAUUCAAACUCAUCUGAUGGUGAUAAAUUGGGUGGUGAGCAUACCCUACACUAAAUGAUGUCACUGAGAAAAUCUGGCAUGUACACAUGAUGAGAGAGAUACCGAUUGGGGAUAACAGUCCCAGUACCUGAGAAUUUGCCCUUGUCACCAGAGUUGGGAUUGGAGAUUCAUCCGCCAAAGUUUGAUUAGGUUUUAUGUCCCAUCUAAAGAGGCAAAUGUACAUUUCAGGUUGUGUGGGUUUAGAUGUUGAUGGUCAGUGUACUGAUUUCUUGGUGGUAAUGGAAAAUGUGGGGUACCAAAAUCAUGAA